rnacentral:rRNA from 1 species
AACCCGCGAGGGGGAGCUAAUCCCAUAAAGCCAGUCGUAGUCCGGAUCGCAGUCUGCAACUCGACUGCGUGAAGUCGGAAUCGCUAGUAAUCGUGGAUCAGCAUGUCACGGUGAAUACGUUCCCGGGUCUUGUACACACCGCCCGUCACACCAUGGGAGCGGGUCUCGCCAGAAGUAGGU